rnacentral:misc_RNA from 1 species
AAAUUGAUUUUACUCAAUUUGAGCAUGUCAAAAACAAACAUGACCUUUUUCUCAUAUGUCUGUUGGAUUGUGAGCGUGCCAGGGACACUAACAUCCCAAGUAUGUAAUGUAAAUAAAUUGUUCUGAUUUCCAAUUUGAACGAUUAGAGGGAAACAAAGGACUAAACUUUCCCUUGGGUUCCUUGACUCUACUAGGAUGCAUUUUGUCAAGAUUUCUACCUGUAUAACUUUGUGAAAUUUGAGAAAAUGGGAUUGGUUGCUAG